rnacentral:rRNA from 1 species
UGGGGAAUUUUGCACAAUGGGCGAAAGCCUGAUGCAGCAACGCCGCGUGUGCGAUGAAGGUCUUCGGAUUGUAAAGCACUUUCGACCGGGACGAAAAUCGGAUGGCUAACAUCCAUCCGCCUGACGGUACCGGGAGAAGAGGCACCGGCUAACUCUGUGCCAGCAGCCGCGGUAAUACAGAGGGUGCAAGCGUUGUUCGGAAUUAUUGGGCGUAAAGCGCGUGUAGGCGGCUUUGCAAGUCGGGUGUGAAAUCCCUCAGCUCAACUGAGGAAGUGCGCCCGAAACUGCUUAGCUUGAGUGCCGGAGAGGAUGGCGGAAUUCCCCAAGUAGAGGUGAAAUUCGUAGAUAUGGGGAGGAGCACCGGUGGCGAAGGCGGCCAUCUGGACGGUAACUGACGCUGAGACGCGAAAGCGUGGGUAGCAAACAGGAUUAGAUACCCUGGUAGUCCACGCCGUAAACGAUGAGAACUAGGUGUCGUGGGUGUUGACCCCCGC